AUACAAGCAAGCACAACAAGAAAGUAGAGGGGAGGAAGCCUCAACCCAUCAAACCGCAACCCUGCAAUCAGACUAGCUAGCAGCACCGAAGCUUGGAAUCUCAUCAACUCUAGCAAACCAACUCUGCGAUUAUCAGCAGCCCAACCUAAAAUCACAGCAGCCAAAGGCAGCCUCAAGGGAGCUUCCACAGCUAACAAAUAUUCCGCAGCAACCAGAAGAUCCAGAAGCCAACAGAAAAGCAAGCCUGCAAUAAUAAACCAGCAACAAACACCACCCCCACAAGGCAGUGGCCAUCGAGCAAACUUUCCACCCAGAGGCCACGCUGCCAUGAUAGCAGUCUUAUAACAGCUACACUAGACAACCGAAAGAAAUCUCAGCAAGAGAACAUCACCAAGAGCGGGACAACUACUUCUUUUCCCAAUAUCAGAUCUCGAACCAAUACUCUAUUGAAUCCUAGGCCCCUUUAUGUUACCAUCACUUGGUACCCAUCUGUAGGCAGCCACAGGGUGCACCCAUCUGCAAUAACAAGAACAGCCAGCAAAACCAAAACCAUCGACAUAAAUAUCAAUCAACAAAACAAGAGUAUAACAAGCACUUCACAUGCCCAGAGUCGAGGCAAGAGAAGUAAACAAUCGCCACAGCAAAACAGAAUCAACAGGAGCUAAUAAAGCGUAGCAGCAUCAAACAACAAAACCAGGAAGCCAACCACAAGGCAUGGCACAGCAGGGGCCAAUAUUGCCCACGAACAACCCAAAAGAGAUCAUCAUCAAGAAGGGAACAAUUUAGGAGGUCUGUCCCCUAUUACAUCUCUUUCUCAUCAACCUCUUUGCGGUUAUUGCUGAGAUUAUACAAUUUGGGAUGAUAUUUCUCUUCCUUUUAAAUAUCACUCUCCAACCAUGAGUCCUUAGAGAAUCAUUGGUUUUGCAAAAUAGUUUAUUUGUGCCUUAUAGGUACUUAACCAGUCCAUAUCCAGAAUGGCAUUAACGUCACACAACUCCAACUCCGACCAUCGAGUCCCCUUGGAGAAUCAUUGGUUUCGCAAAAUAGUUCAUUUGUGCCCUAUAGGUACUUAACCAGUCCAUACCCAGAAUAACAUCAAAGUCACACAACUCCAGUGGUAGUAAGUCCACUCUUAUCUCACUCCCUAUUAUAUCAAGCCUAACUCUCUUAUACAUAUGAACAACACAUACAUUUUCUACCCUAAAAGAGUUUUCCUAUAAGUCUAUGUGUUAUAAAGGAAUGGGCAGCCCCAAAAUCAAAUAAUAAAUGCAUAAAUAGGAAAUUUAAGUAUAAAAUACUUGUCACUACAUCAGGGGUUUUCCUAGUCUCCUCUCAUGUCAUGUAAAACACCCUAUCUUGAGUCCCGACACCUGGUGCCCCAUCACUCUGAGCUCAAGGCUGGCCUCUACUACCACUGGCCCCUGACUGUACCGUUCUAGCUAGUCGAUCCAUUAUGGUUGGCUACUGCUGACUUUGAGUCGGCUAUUGGUGACCCUGAAUAAACUCAGUCCUUUAGGGGUAGUUUAUUUGAAAACAACCCUAGAUAUCACAAUAGUAGCACCCUCAAUCUAAAUAUAGGCAAUCUUGCUAUCUAUGCUCCCCUAUAAAUAUAGCAUCGUCCUGGUGAUGCAAAACAAUUCCCUAAAUGCCUUUGCUAACACUGCACACUCGGGUGAAACUACACCUCAAGUUUGGUUGUCCGCUUGUCGACCCUUUGUGCUUUGACUAAAUCCUAUAGUUUUUCCUCCCUCUUUUCUAAUCUGGCUCAAUUGCCCCUUAUUCAUUUUUAGUGGUAGCGGCCUACCUGUAAAAUAGUUUAUAUCCUUCUGCUUCCCGAAACAAGGCUUACCCUGCUGGCCCUCUCUCAUACACGCCUCUAGGGGCUUCGCUGCUUCUAUAAGUUCUUUGGUUGUUUCAAAUAUAAAAGCUUCAAACCUUGCCUUAAUUCUUAUUGCAACCAUCUCAUAACUUCUCAAUCCUAUGCUACUCCGUAGGAAUAUAAUGCGAGAUAAAUGUGGAGAGGUCAUGAAACCAUCACUCAUAGUCCAGAACUAUCAUAUCUCCCUUCCCUGGAUUUAAGAACUCCUAUUCCUUUACCUUGUGAUGAUAUGAUGGAUAAAACUAGUGCUCAAACUGCAAUCUAAAAUUAGUCCAUGACAAAAACCCUAUUGGUCUCCUUGAUCUCAUAAUAUCUCAAACUGCAAUCUAAAAUCAGAAAGUAAAUAAGCGGCAUAGUUCACAUGUAAUCCCUCUGCUACAUAUAUUUGAUCUAUAAUAUCCUCGACUGUGUGAAAAAAUCUACUCGUUAUCUUCGCAUUCGAUUCACCUUAUACUUUUUAUAAUACACACCAAUGUAACCACACUAUCAGCUGAUGCUGCAACCACUAGCGUUGUCUGCAUUGUCGGAGACACUAAGGCAAUCAAGGCUAGUGUAUUAGGCAUCGCCUUAUCAUUACUCUUAUUAUCUGAUAUUAAAUGUUGGGUCAGCAUAUAGUGUAGGGGUUGCUGCUGCUAUUGCUAGGGGUAUUACUCUUUGUCCCUGCCGACCCAACUCCCUAGGUUGUGACACUCUAGCCUAUCUCGAGUCAACAUCACGCUCUAGUGAAAUGACUCAUCAAGUCUCGUCUAACAAGACACCAAUGGCAUCUGGGAAGCAAUAUCCUUAAGGGGUUUCUCUCAUUGUCUCUCCUCGGUUCUUUCAUAUUAAACUCGUCUCCCUAUAGAGGAUGGAUCUGUCAAUACACCUCUUCUCAUGCCAACCAUCCUGAUACCAAACAAUUGUUUGUUAAUUUCUCAUUUUAAUUUCUGAACCUAUAACAGGGCUUUAAUAUUAAUUGUAACACCCAAAAAUUCACAAUUUUAUGAUUAUUUAUUCAGAAUUACCAAAAAUUUUAACGGUGCAAUAUUUUUUUUACCAAAUGUUCAACUGAAUCUCCUUUGUAUUUUCAAUACCAAGUUAUCGAAUCAAUAAUUUCUUAACCUGCAACAUCAAUCACAAUGUACAUCCCAUCAUACAAGACUUUCAUAAAACAACCAUAGUAUUAGCUUCCAAUUUUUUAGUAGAAUUAAUAUUUUGAUAUUCCAUAGAACAAUUAUUUAAAGCUAAUUAGUCCAUGACAUGCAUCAUUUUCUUUUAGAAAAUAAAUAUGGUUAAAUAAGUAUACAACAAGACUAUAAACCAACUUAAUAAAGAAAACUUCCUUGAAUUACAUCAUUCAUAAUUAAAGAAGUUAAACAUUACAAUUUUUAAACACAAAAAUAUAUUACAAUAAAACAAAUACAUUGUUCAUUUAAACAAAAGGCUCUUAUCCAUGAAUUGCUUCUUGGCCCGAGGAUGCCAGGUACCUAAAAAUAUUCAUUAGAAGUGUGUGUGCGCGCGCGCGCGCGCACGUGUGGAUUAGAUAAAGGAUAAAUUUUACACCUUACAAAAACUAAAAAUCAUUUCUUCAUGCACAUAAAUGCAUAUAUAACAUCAAUUUAUGGAAUACUUAUCUCUAGUGCACUAUCAUCUUUACAAUAUCCUUAACAUAAGUUUUGAAUUUUAUAACGAUAUCAAAAUUUCCUUUUGUGAAGAAUAAUGUAUUUAGCUUCUAAAAAAUUGUCUGAAUUCCAUAAUUACACAUAUACCAAGGCAUUAAUCCCAUUACUCAGGGAAUUUGUUUUCUCUAAAUGCCCAUUAAACAGAGCAUAAAUUUUCUUAAUCAAGGAAUUAAAUCUUUGAUUCAUCCAUUCAUCAUGACACUAUUCUCACUCACCAGGUGAUACGAACCAAGUCAAGUUCAAAUUUGGCUUUAAAAUGUCUGCUGACUAGUUUUGCUAGAUUAGACAUAUCUCUCAAACCGUACAUCAAAACGAGCUUAAAUAAUACAAGGAGAUACUAUACACAUGGAGUUAUAUUUUGGUAUAUUUUCAGGUCAAAUAGAUUUUAAGAAUAUAUUAUUUUAGAGGGUCAAAGUUACUUUAUAAAUUUAUCAAACUAAACCUUUGUGUACUAUUUGGGACAUAUAUGGAUCUACAAGUGGCAUAUUUUUGUGAUUCAAGUUGGUAUGAAAACUAGACAUCUCAAGGUUUUUAGCCAUGUAUGGUAGGCCCAGUAAUUCAUCUAGAAAAGAAAGAAUGAUAUGUUUGAAGUCUGGACUAAAAAUCUGCUAUGAAUGUGCAAAUAUUAGAGAUUCGAGCUACAUGGAGGAAUUUUAGCAUGAAAACUUUGUUUUUAUUAUCCUAUUUUAUUUAUCUAUUUAAUGUUGAAUAAUUAUUUUUAAUUUGGGUUUGUUCUAGCCCAUUAGAAAUUGUUUAGGUGUUUUUUUUUCAUUAUUGAACUUAUGUUAGUUGAUUACUAGUUUCGGCUCAUUAGCUUGCAAUCUAAAAGAGGUCCAUUAGGGUUAGCUAGAGGAGACUAUAUUAUGUUUUUUAGCUAUAAAUUUUGGCAGCAAGUUAGAGAAUAAACAUGAGUUUUCCUUUAGCUUGUUUUUGGCAAAACAAUCUUUUUUUGCAAAGACAAAGAUUGUACACUUGCUUAUCGAAGAUUAACUAGCUUAUUGACAUCAUCCACAUACUUAGGGUUCUUAGAUCCAAGGCUAUCAAUGGGUCCAAGUCUUUUGUCAAUACCUAUAGUUCUUAGGUAUAGGGUUACCUCUGGGUCAAAGUUUGAUCAAACUUGAUUUUCAACUUUCCAAAUUGUUAUCUACUUCGUUGGGGGUUGCUUGACUUCAUGAUCAAGAGGUUUGCAUCACUUGGUAUUAGAGCUAGGCUUCAAAAAUCAAGUUAUAUCCUUUAUUUUCUUCUUGUUAGUUUUGGCUUCCUUAGGUUUAGUUUUCUUUUAUUCGGUUUUUUAUUAUUUUGUGUCUAAAGUUUAGUAGUUUAUGUCAAGGGUUCCUUAACAAAAAAUUUUGAUUUUAUUUUAUUUUGUUGCUAUCUUAGAAUAUAUUAGUAGCAUAAAGAGAAAAAACAAAAAACAUAAAAACAUUCAAAUAUCACUUUGUCGAAUCUACCACAAUACACAAAAAAGGAUAAUUUUGACCAAACCAAUACAGAAAAUUCUCAAAUUUUAUAUCCUUGUUCUAGAAGUCAUAAUCGCAUUCCAUAUGAAAUUUGAGCUCAUUUACAAAUCCUUUGCUAUAGUAACCAAUGUCAGGAUUAUAACUUGUCAGAUUCAUAUCAGAAGGAAAUCUUGGGACAAAUAAAUUCAUUAAAUUCUCAAAUUUUAUAUACUAGGCUUUAAGGUUCUAGUCACACUCCAUAUAAAAUUUAAGUUCAUUUGGAGUUCUUUUGCUAUAGAAACUAAUUUCGGGAUUGGAACUUGUCAUGAUGGUUCUAAUUCGCGUUAGUAAUUCAAACUUGUUUUAUUGCUUUUAUUUUUCAAUUAUGACAGUAUAAUAACAUCAUAAUUGAUAUAUUUAGGUUUCAUUUAAAUUUCUUUUAUAUAACCUUUGUAUCAUUUUUCUUUAAUGUCUUCAAAAACAUCCAUUUUUUCGUACAAAUAUGCUAGUUACUCAUGAAAUUGUAUUUGUAGUUUCGUCUUUACUAGUUUUUGUAUUUUUCUUGAUUCUUGAGACAUUUACACAUAUUUGGAUACAUUACUCUAAAUGUUAUAUUUGGUGUUGAUUUCAAUUAUGCAAGAGUCAAAGAAAUGUGAGAUGAGAGGAAAAAGGCAUAGCAAGCAUAUUUGAGUGAAAAGCCUAUAUUUGAGUGAAACAUGAUAGAAGUGUAAACACAUGAGGGAGCAGGUAAGGAUUAUAUAUUGCUUGUUAACUGACCAAUUUUCAUAUUCAAAGAUGUCAAAAUGAAGCAACAAUAUAGCACCACGAAAAGAAGACAGUGAAAUUGUAACUUAGUUACGCAUUAUAAAUCAAUGGAUGGAUAAAAUGACCAAUAAAUUUGGAGAUAGAUUGGAUAGGUUAGAGAAGCAACAUGUUAAUGAUCAUGGUAGGGUUCAAAUUAGGCUUGAGUAAAGAGAAUUUAAUGUUAGAAGGGUUAUUAGGCGAGUAAACACUAAUGUGGAUGAUAAUGCAGACAUGAGUGAUGUUGAUUUUGAAGAUGUGUCUGUGGGACAGAGGGGAUGUUUUGGACAACAACAAAAUUUUCAUUUUAUAGAGGGAAAUAUGGUGAUAAUUUUCACUAGAGGGGUAAUUAUAGGUACCAGGACUAUAAUGCUGAGUUAGAUGGAGAUUUGGGUACAAUUAAGCUGAAAAUAUUGGCUUUUCAAAUGAAGAAUGAUCCUGAAUUUUAUUUAGAAUGGGAGAAGAAGGUAGAGUGGAUUUUUUAAUGUCACAAUUAUUUAGAGCACAAGAAAGUCAAGCUUAUUGUGAUUGCUUUUACUGACUAUGUCAUUAUAUGGUGGGAUCAAUUAGUGACAACCCGCAUGAGGAAUUAUGAGAGGCAAGUUGAUACUUGGGAUGAGAUGAAAUCCCUUAAGAGGAGGAGAUUUGUGUCUAGCCACUAUUAUAGAGAAUUGUAUCAAAGGUUAUAAAGUUUGAGCAAGGUACAAAGAGUGUUGAUGAGUACUUCAAGGAGAUGGAACUUUCUAUGAUUCGAGCUAAUGUUAAGGAGAAGGAUAAAAAGGUUGUUAUGCUAGAUUCAUGAAUGGCCUUAAUCAUGAUAUAACUCAUAUUGUGGGGUUGCAUCAUUAUGUGUAGUUGGAGGAGAUGAUGCAUAUGGUCAUGAAGGUGGAGAAACAGCUUAAACAAAAAGGUACCAUUCAGCAAAGCCAACCAUUAGGCUUUUUGAAACCUUGAAAACCCAAUUGGAAGGCUAAUACCAGGGGUGGUCCAUCACAGUAGAAUGAGGAGGGCAAGGCUGAAUACCCUAGAGAGAAUAAAGACACCUCGGUCAUUGUUAAAGGUAAUAAUUUUACUUCUACUUCUCAUAAUUGUGACAUUAAAUGCUUUCAUUAUCUGGGUUUUAGUCAUGUUGUUUCACAGUGUCCAAACAAAAGAGUUAUGGUUAUAAAAGUUAAUAAUAAGGUUAAGAUUGAUAGGGAGGGUGAAUUGGAAAAGAUGCUACCAUUGAAUGAUGCUGAUGAUGUUUAUGUUGAGUAUCUGGUUAAGGGAGAGGCACUUAUGGUAAAGAAAGCAUUGAAUAUAUGUCAAGGUGAAUGAUUAGGAAGGUCAAAGGGAGAACAUAUUCCACACGAGAUGUGAUGUUCAUAAUAAGUUAUGUAGCUUAAUUAUAUAUGGUGGUAGUUGCUCUAAUGUAGCUAGUACUAAAUUGGUGAGAAAGUUGAACUUACACACUACCAAACAUCCCAUACCUUAUAAAUUACAGUGGUUGAAUAAUGGUGGUGAAAUGAAAGUGAAUAAGUAGGUUUUGGUUGCUUUUUCUAUUGGUAAAUAUUAUGAUGAUGUGUUAUCUGAUGUUAUGCCAAUGCAAGCUAGUUAUUUAUUGCUUGGUAGACCAUGGUAGUAUCAUAGGAGAGUUAUGAAUGAUAGAGUGAAAAAAAAUGUAUUACUUUGAGAUGAAUGGCUAUAACUCCUGUAUCUUUGACACCUAAGCAAAUAUAUGAGGAGCAACUAAAAUUGAAGAAGGAGAAUAUGGUUAAAAAGGAGAGCUUACAUAUCAAGGGUACCUUCUUUGCUAAUAAGGUUCAUCUUGGUUUUGAUGAUGAUGUUAUUCUUUAGCUUGGUACUGAUUUGUUGACCUUAGAAGAUGUUUUUCAUCAUAUAAAUUUGAGGUCGAAUCUUUUAAAAGAAGAAUACCACAUCUCAAAAGUUCUCUUCAACUCCUUUCCAUUUAUUGUUUAUAACUUUAUAUAAUUCACCUCCCUGUGAUUCGACCCCGGUCUUGCCCGGUUAUUUAUUACUUCGACACUCCUACACUUAGGAUAAGACAUCAAUCUUUUAAUCGUGUCACCUACCUCCAUAGACAAAGUAUCCUUACCACAAUCAAUCUUUGCAUUGGCAGUUUUUAAGAAUGGUCUCCCAAACAAUAUAGGAGUGUUGUUUGAUGAAUCACAAAAAUCAUGUUUCAUAUCAAGAAUAUAAAAAUCACAUGGAAUGACCAAACUAGGACAUCUUCUAUCACACCAAGUGGGUAAACAAAACUACGAUCUGCAAGUUGUAUUACAAUGCUAGUUUUAUUCAAAGGUUCCAGACUAAGAGAAUCAUAAACAUGUUUAGGCAUAACACUAAUGAAUGCACCUAAAUCGCAUAAAGCCCUUUUAAAACUAGUAUUACCAAUAACACAUGGGAUAGUAAACGCACUUGGGUCUUUUUGCUUCAAAGGCAUAUUCUUUUGAACAACAGCAGAUACAACUUCACCCAUACUUACCAUUUUAUGACCUUUCAGUUUGAAAGCUCUCUUGGUAAUACACAACUCCUUCAAGAAUUUGGCAUACUUGGAAAUUUGCUUAAUAGCAUCAAGCAAAGGAAUGUUGAGUUCUACUUUCUUGAAAACCUCUAAAAUCUCUUUUUCUUUGUCCUCUUUCUUAGACCUAGAAGAACUCACAGGAAAUGGUGGAAUUGUUUUAAAACUGGAAUUCAUUGAGUGAGGACUUAUCUUUAGAGUGUUGGUCGUGGUUUCAAUUUAUAAAGGAGGAGGAUGUUUCUUCUUUAUAUUCAAUUCGAUUUCUAUCUCCUUUUCUUCCUUAAUCUCAAUUUAUUUCGACCUUUGCCUUUCAAGUUCUUUCCCACUUCGCAGCAUGAUCGCACUAACAUUCUCUUUUGGAUUCAAUGCUUGGGAGGGCAAUUUUCUAUUCAUUUAUGCUUCCAAUUUCCCUACACUUGAAGCUACUUGCCCCAUUUGCUUCUCCAAGUUGUGAAUACUUGACCUUGUUUCCUUUUGAAACGACAUGACAUUUUGUUGCAAGGUCACAGUGUUAAAAGCCAAAGUUUUCAUCAUCUCAUGAAGAUCAUCACUGGAUGACGACCCCAUAACAUUGGAGUUUGUGAAUGGAGGGGGCUGUCUCACUUGAUAAUCCUGUUGGGGUUGAAAUCCAUGGGGAUGGAACUGUCGACCUUGAUUGUCUUGUUGAGGCGGGUUCCCUUAGCGUAAGUUUGGAUUAUCUCUCCAUCCGGGAUUGUACGUGAAAAGGGAUCAUAUUUACGUCGGGGUUGUCCGUUGAAUCCUCCAUCAACUGCAUGAACCUGUUCAAUGUAAUCUUCUUGCAUUGUUGGGCACAUAUCUGAGGUAUGUCCUUGUAAGGAACAUAUGCUACAAACUUUCACCUGCUGUACAUUUCCACAAGCCAAAGAACGCACAAGAGAAGUAAGAUCAUUAACUUUAUUUUCAAGGUAGAAAUACUUACCUCAUUUACUCAUUUGUUUGAGAAGUCUCCACGGGUGCCAAACUGUUUCGAGUUGGCUGCCAUGUUUAAGAUCAAUUGGCGUGCAACCUCGGGUGUCUUAUCUACCAAUGCCCCUCCACUUGUAGCAUCAAUGAUACUACGGUUAGUAGGCAUCAAUCCUUCAUAGAAAUAUUGAAUGAGUAGUUGAUCGGGUAUUUGAUGAUGAGGGCAUUGAAUGCAUAGUUGCACAAAUUUUUCCCAAUACUCGAAUAAUGUCUCGCUAUGAGAUUGUCGAAUCCCACAUAUUUAUUUCCUUAUGUUGGCAACUCAAGAUGCUAGGAAAUACUUCUCAGGGAAAAUCUUCUUCAUGGCAUUCCAAGUUCCAAUGGAACCUGGGAGAAUAGAGAAAAACCAUGUCUUUGUUGCCCCUUUUAAAGAGAAAGGGAAAGCUUUCAACUUAACUUGUUCUUCGUCAACUCCAUUCGGUUUCAUGCCAACGCAAACCAUAUGAAACUCCUUGAGAUGGGUAUGAGGAUCUUCUCCUGCAAGACCAUUGAAUGUUGGUAGCAAAUGUAUAAAACCAAAUUUAAGCUCGAAGUUUACAUUAUUGUCAAUGUUUAUGCACAAUGGUUGAUUUUCCACGUUAAGAGCAGCAAGCUCCUUGAGUGUUUGUUGUUGUGCAACAGUCAUGGUGUUGACGCGAGCUUCCUUUCGUAACCUCCGUAAAGUGUUUUCUAUUUCGAGAUCCCCCUACACUUGACUUUGGUUAGUAGAACGGGUUACAUGCAUAAAUCAUCAAGGAAACUAAAAAAAAACCAACCACACAAGAGAUCGAAAUCAAUGCAAAUUGUACAAAAAUCAUACGCUACAAAACUAAAACUGCAUAGAAACCCUAGAAAACAGCAGAAUUUGGCCUCUAUAGGGUGGGGCUAGUGAUUUACCACUAGUCCUACUCAAAACAUCGUUUCCCUUCAGGAAAAAAAGAAGAUAGAUACCUAAUUCCACCAAAAAUCUAUUUUGAAUAGUACCGCUACCGUAAAUGAACAGUACCGCUGCAAGCAAAAAUUAUGUUUCUCUUUUUUUUUUAGAAAAAUAAAUAACAAUCACGGGAAAUAAAAAUAAUAGCACAAGAAUCAAUUAAAAUUACUUCCCCGGCAAUGGCGCCAAAAUUUGUUGCGAUGUUACGGUCGCACAAAUUAAUUACCCUAGCUUAAAACACAACACACAAGAUAGUAUAGAGCAAGUAAGGAGUCGAUCCCACGAGGAAGGUUCAAGAUAGAUUUUUAUGCUAGAUGAUAUGCAAUUUGAGGGGGGUUUGGAUAUUAUCUAGGCUAAAGCAAAAGAAAACAAAAAACUAUCAAACGAAAUUAAAUAAAAUCAGAAAAUUAUCAAGAGAACAAACAUUGGUCGCAAGCACACAUCCACCUACAGAAAUCAGAACUGAUCAUGGAAACGAAACAUCAAUUUAUAUUUUGAAUAUUUAUCUCUUUUUAAAAUUGGUUAGUUAACGGAUCCGCCGUAUAACUAACCUUAACCAUCAAACAACCACUGUGUCCACACUAGUAAUUUAAUUCAAUGACAGCUUUAAGAACUAGAUAAGUUGAUUAAUCAAGAAAACAUAAGUGUUCGCAGUUUAUGUUUGAUUUGAUUGAAUGUUCUCCCUAAGAUUAAUAAUGUAGAUCCGCCAUAAUUAUUAAACUCAGUUGCUUCACAAGUUCAUAUACCACAACUCCGGUUUUGAUAUCAAACUUAGCAAUAGAUUGUUUACAAUAAUAACUUAGAGUCCGCUCUAGUAAUUAAAAUAAACAAUCAUAGGAAAAAUAACCAUAGGAGAACAAAUAUAUUCAUCAUAUAAACUGAAAAGAAAAGGUAAAAUAAAUCUCACAGUUCUUGAAUUCUGAAGGUUUCCAUGUCCUUGCAACCAAGAAAAAGAGUUUAGCCUUGCAUGCUUGUUAAACAACUAAUCAAAAAGAAGGAGGAAUGCAUGAUUUCAGGUUUCUUAGAGGAAGGGGGCGUUUGUCUCUUCUUGGCUGGCUGGCCCCCUUCUGUUCUCUCAUUCUUUUUAUAUCCUAGGAAACCCUAGUCUGUAUUUUACAAAAUAGUCCUCCCUUAAGUAGAUAGUUUACAUUUAAGUACUUCAAUAACUAUUUUCCUAAAAAAGGAGAAAUAGCCUUGCAUGAAAUCUUCAAGCUUUGACUUAGAGGAGCUAAAUUGCUGAGUUUGUAUCAAUUGGACUUCUGUAACUCCAGAUAUUCAAGUCGGAAUGGUCGAACGUCAACACUGGCAGAUUGCAAGAUUUGACUUUGAAGGCUGCGAUUUCCAUGCUCUUCCUUAUUUUAUUUUCAUGCCCUAGAUUUCCAAAAAGAUAUGGAUGUUAUCUUUUUAAUGCCACUAGAAUCACUUCAUUUCGACCUCUAAAGCUCACGCUCUGCACAAAAUAUCGACUGAAGGUCAAAUCUGCCAUUUACCUCCAAUUUACUUCUUUUUGCAUCUUUCAUCCAAAAAUGCCUUCAAAACAAAAACAAAGAAUAUCAAGGCAUUUUAUAUAUAAAACAUGGGCAAAACACUAGUUAAAUGUGGGUGAAACUAUCGAAUAAUAUGGUUAUAUCAUUAGUUUAGGCCCAUUAGCUUGCAACCUAAAAGGGGUCCAUUUGGGUUAGUCAGAUGAGACUAUAUUAUGUUUUUUUAGUUUCAGAUUUGGCAAUAAUUUGGAGAAUAAACAUGAGUUUUCAUUUUGUUUGAUUGUGGCAAAACAAUCUUUUUUUACAGGGACAAAGAUCG
rnacentral:lncRNA from 1 species